rfam:Aspergillus carbonarius ITEM 5010 unplaced genomic scaffold ASPCAscaffold_12, whole genome shotgun sequence.
CCCUUGAUGGUCUAGUUGGUUUAUGGCAUCUGACUGUAAUAUCGCAUUGUAAUCAGAGAGUCCCCGGUUCGACUCCGGGUCGAGGGA